UUUUCUAAUUGACAUGAUGUAAAAUCUUUAGCUAGUUGAUAUUAUGUGUAACCCACGCAUGUACAGGUGGACAAUUCUAGUUAAUUUGGAAGUAAAAAUCAGACAUAGGAGUUUUGAAACCUGAAUUGAAUAAAAGAAGAAAAUACAAUCAUGUAUUAAUAUUAAUUACAUGGGGCUUUGUUGUGAUUGUUUUUGUUUGAAAGUGAAAGUUGUAUAAUGCAGAGAUGUGAUGACGUCUUCAUAUAUAUAAGUGAAAGAGUUUUGAAAUUUUAUUAAGCUAUCCUUUCAAAUUAAGACCUGGUAAUUAUUUCGAUGAAUGUUGAUGCAACACUUAAGAUAUGCAUAAGCUUAAGAUUUGGCAAAGUCAAUGAUUUAAUUAGAUUUAUGCAAGACAGGUCAAGGAACAUAAAUUUUUAUGGAGUCUUUUUCAAUAGCUAUUGUAAAAACUCUUGUAUAACCAUAAAAUAUUUCAAAAGUCUUAAGUUAUAUAUGAAUAGUCAAUUAUAUGUUUUAAAAUAUUGAAUCCAAGGGCAAUAACUCUGUUUUCAUUAAAUUAUUUAUCAAGUCCAUUAUGCGAUAGAUUUCCUUUAUUUUUCACAAACAUUUUGUAUAUCUUUUAAAGAAACUGUUUCAUGAAAUUGUUAUGAACACUAUUACAUGUAUGUUGUUCUAACCAUUUUUUGUGAAAUUUUGAUAUUACUGUUUAAGGAAACUUGCAAUUUUCUGACGUUGAUACAGGUAUAUGUGUGCUAAUUGAUAAAAUUUUUAUUAAUACUGCAACAUACUUAUUUUAUCAUUUUUAUUUGUUACUAAAAUAUAUCAUUUGAAGAAUCAACAAGAAAAUAUAAGGAUGAAACUAUAAUUCUAGAAGGGUGGAAUUACCUUAGUGUUUAUAAACACUAUAUGUAUAUACCAACCCUGUGGUUAGAACCCCUACCCCGGAGAUUUGACAAUUUUGGUAGAGGCCUUCUUGCUCUACAUCACUAUGCAUUUAGUUUUUCUUACACGUGUGCGGUUGUAAAGAAGAAGAUUUUUUGAAAAUUGGUCCAUUUUGGGCAGUUUUUGCCCCGCCCCUAGGGCUCCAGGGGUGCUGGAGUCAUGAAAUUUACAAUUUAUGUCCCCCUUGUCCUUUGCUUCAUACCAAAUUUGAAAAGAAUUGGACUGGUAUAGUUAUCAAGAAGAAGUUAAAAAUGUUCAAUUGUUAAUUAAUACACGACGGACAACGCGCGACAGCGGACGGCAACCAAUAGCCGUGUUUCGAGUUCCUCCGGAACACCCGGGAUUUUUCGUAUUUAGCCACGCCGGUCACGUGAUAUGAGCAAAAUGUUCCACAGGGGUACUUCCGGUUAAUUUUGUUUACACUGGUAACAAAAUUGUUUUUGACAAAAUAUAGAUUUUGCGGCACAAACUGUCGCAAAUCAGAUAAAGGAUAGCAAGGGAUAUAUAUUUACUUGGGAAGAUGUCAAAGUUUACCUUUUCCCACACCCGGGAAAAGCGUUCACGCAGAGGAAACGAUGGCGUCAUUUGUGUAGAAAACCACGACCAGCCGAAAUUGAGUGCGAUUAUUACAUUCCGUGAAAGCUGAACCAACAAAGAAACAUCAUUGUUCUAGCCAGUUUCCUUAUAUUAACUUUUAGGAAAACCAAGAGGUUUGUACUGACUCUUAAAAAUAUAAUAUAGACUGUGCAAAAUCUUGUCAAUCUUAAGAAUAGGUAUACUUGUACCCUCAUCCACAUCUGAGCAGUGUAUGUAUUUUACAACGGUGUUCAUGUGACAUUAAAUAGAGAAUUUCAAUUAUGAACUUAUGGUUCAGGCUCAUAAAAAUUACGAAGCAAUUUCACAAGGGAGUGAGAGGGGGGGGGGUAUAUAUAUCUGCCAAUUAAAUAAAAUAUGAGAACACCAGAUAAUAUAUCCCUACGGAUCUAUACUAGAAUUUGCAUGAUCAUUUAUUCAAGCUCCAUACCGAUGGUUCAUUCACUGCAAAAUUUUGAAUUAUAUCAAAGAACAUUGAUCUUUUCUCCAACUUUUAAUACAAAUCAAGCACAGGCAAUAUGCAUCGCUUGGGGUACUCUUUAAUAGUAAAUUCGAACACAAGUGAUGCUUAUUGCCUGUGCAAUCAAGGUACUUUGCAUGUACAUGUACAUCAGAUAUGUACAUUUCCACUCAAACCACUUAUAUACAAGAAUGGAACCAGCUGAACAUGAGCCAGGUUAUAUAUUAUGUAUUUGCUCUCCUACCCCUUUGAUUCAGUACUGUGUAAGGAAAUAUACUAUUGAGUAUAUAUAUAUUUUAAAAAGAAUAACAAAGAACAACAAUUUUCAUUCAUAUUUCAUUCAACAUAUAUAUACACAGAUUGAUAACAAUGGCUGAUCUGCAUAUAAUGACUGCUAGUUAUUGGCUGGUAUGCAGUGAAAGGGAGCUAAAAAGGAGUAAAAAGUUCAUAUCAGCCAGGUAGUGUGGCUUAAAUAAACCAGUGUUAAGGAAUAUCCAGUAAUGGCAUGACAUCAUGAGAGUUUGGCAUACCGACAUUCAGAUGAUUAAUGAUGAAACUGAAGACCUCAGGUGAAAGGCAUGGAAAAUGAUCCUGUUCCCAUAUACCUGAAAAAGAGGAGGGAUGCCACAAUAUUGAUAAUAGACUUUUGUCAAUUUGAGAAGCAAAGAUGUAAAAAAAACAAAAAUAAUAAUGCUGAAAUUAUAAUUCAUGUAUUUGUUAAAAAUACUGUUCACUGUACAUACAUGUAUAUUUUUUUUUAACUUAUUUGGAAAUACAUGAAGUAAUUCAUAUUAAAACUGUGAAUGUAUGA